ensembl:lncRNA
UGUGUAGUUAGGGUUUCAAAGUGUGUGUGUGUGUCUAUACAUUUGUGUAUUUAUAUUCAUGUGCAGUGAGGUGAGUUCACCUCUUUCUGUGUGUAGGUUCAUUCAGAAGGUGAGGUUGAAACUGGCAUAAUGAGAAUAAAGGAACGACAACUGAUUUGGCAGAGUUUUAAAAUCACCUUUAAUAAAUCUGGAUUUAGCAGGCCACGGAACGCGUGUGUGUAUCUUCAGCGUGGAGAAUAGCUCAGUUGUUUGGCAGUGUUUUCAGGGUCAGCGCUGGCCUUGCCUCGGGCCAUGUCAGCCGACGCUAUCGGACUCAAAGAGGAGCCUCUCCUCACACGAAUGAUAAUUAGGAUACACAGUGCCAGUUCACAGAAAUGAACCAUCUGUGUUCGAUCCUUCCAAGCCCCUUAUAGUCUGCUGCCCGCUGCUCAUGUCUGAUGUGCUGCUAUCUUCGUCCAUGUGGCAAAAUAACACUUUUAAUAGCCAGUAGAGCCCUAAUCAUGCAGCUCUGCAUUGUAAUCUGUGUAGGGCUGUAGAUGAGCUGCACUGAACAGGGUCAUUUACGAGUUAUUUCAGUUAGUUCAAGGAUUGUGGGUGUAGUGUCAGUCUAGUAUCUGUAUUAACCAAGUCUGUUUUCCUCACGUUCCUUAAUUACUCUCAAAUCCCCUCAUCAGACAAACAAGUUCUGGCUAAGCCGUUGCAAAUAUGUGCUCACGCUUGAGCGUGUAUGGCACUAGUAUUUUACAAAUACCUACAUGUCUAAAAGAAGUAAUACAACGUCUGUGUCUGAGCUGGAUCUCCUCUUUUCUGUCAGCACUCUGCAAUGAGCAAAAGCUGAAUUAAUAAUGAUUUGUCUAGAGAGGUAACAGCAGCCACAUGUCAAUCACAGGGUUUGCACAGGGGGUGCUGGAGUCAAUCCCAGCUUACAGGGUACACCCUGCAGCCAAUCGCAAGGCCGACACAGAGACAAACAACCAUUCACACCUACGGGCAAUUUAGAGCCACCAAUCAACCUGCUCCCCAGAGUAUUGUCAGAACCGCUCAGGGAGAAAGGACUCAGACGCAGAGCAGGUUGAUAGUUUAUUUCAUGCAAGGUACGAAACAAAAUCCCAAAACUAAGGACGCUCCAAAAGGAGGGAAACAGAGUUACUAUCAAAACUAACGGAGGCCCGACACGGGAACAAAAAAAGAGCUCUAAAGAAAAAUCACUCACAUGAGGUAAAAUGGUAAUCACGAGACAAGGCAAACUAUGGCUAUGGACACUGCUGGUAUGACGACGUAGGUUGACACACUGGCACAAGACAAAGGGAGAUGCAGGCUAUAAGAACACAGGGGGAGGAAAAGGGAACAGGUGGACACAAUCAGGAAUCAGGGGGGACAAGGAACCUGAAAUGAGAGGAGAGUUAAACUUCAAAAUAAAACAGGAAGUCAGGAAAACCGACGUGGAGACAGGACAAAGACACAACUAGACAUACAGGUGUGACAAGUAUGUCUUUGCAGACUGCACACAGAAAGGCCACCGGUUGGAGUUGAACCCAGGAGCUGAUUGCUAUGAGGCGACAGUGCUAAACACACCAGCGAGCCACCCAAAUAGCAUGCUGUAAUAGGAUUGGAGACUCAGACCAUAAACUCAUUUUUACAAAGUUAACAAAUCAAGUGUCAGGGGGAGUCAAAGGACAGGAAACAGGAAGGACUCUGUAACGCAUCACAGGAGACAGGAGUCGACCCAAGCGUAGAGCACAGAUUUAAUGAAGAACAGGUAUACAGGGGUUAGGCUUAGUCGUAUCCAAAAGACAGGGCGGGAGGCCGAUAUCCAGGAGCAAGGAGAAGGGCAAAGGUACAGUCAGGGAUCAGGCAGGAGGCAACGAGGUCCGGAACCAAAAGGGGUCUUCAAAGAGAGUACAAAACAGGAUAUCCGAAUAACGCUCAGAAUGUGAUAACAAUUACAUUACAUUACAUUACAUGUCAUUUAGCGGACGCUUUUAUCCAAAGCGACGUACAAUAAGUGCAUUCAACCAUAGGGUACAAACUCAGGAGAACAAGAAAGUGCAAUUUCCUCAAAUAAGCCAAUUUACAAUUUGCUAU